GACGAACGCUGGCGGCGUGCUUAACACAUGCAAGUCGAACGGAAAGGCCCUGCUUUUGUGGGGUGCUCGAGUGGCGAACGGGUGAGUAACACGUGAGUAACCUGCCCUUGACUUUGGGAUAACUUCAGGAAACUGGGGCUAAUACCGGAUAGGAGCUCCUGCUGCAUGGUGGGGGUUGGAAAGUUUCGGCGGUUGGGGAUGGACUCGCGGCUUAUCAGCUUGUUGGUGGGGUAGUGGCUUACCAAGGCUUUGACGGGUAGCCGGCCUGAGAGGGUGACCGGCCACAUUGGGACUGAGAUACGGCCCAGACUCCUACGGGAGGCAGCAGUGGGGAAUAUUGCACAAUGGGCGGAAGCCUGAUGCAGCAACGCCGCGUGCGGGAUGACGGCCUUCGGGUUGUAAACCGCUUUCGCCUGUGACGAAGCGUGAGUGACGGUAAUGGGUAAAGAAGCACCGGCUAACUACGUGCCAGCAGCCGCGGUGAUACGUAGGGUGCGAGCGUUGUCCGGAUUUAUUGGGCGUAAAGGGCUCGUAGGUGGUUGAUCGCGUCGGAAGUGUAAUCUUGGGGCUUAACCCUGAGCGUGCUUUCGAUACGGGUUGACUUGAGGAAGGUAGGGGAGAAUGGAAUUCCUGGUGGAGCGGUGGAAUGCGCAGAUAUCAGGAGGAACACCAGUGGCGAAGGCGGUUCUCUGGGCCUUUCCUGACGCUGAGGAGCGAAAGCGUGGGGAGCGAACAGGCUUAGAUACCCUGGUAGUCCACGCUGUAAACGGUGGGUACUAGGUGUGGGGUCCAUUCCACGGGUUCCGUGCCGUAGCUAACGCUUUAAGUACCCCGCCUGGGGAGUACGGCCGCAAGGCUAAAACUCAAAGGAAUUGACGGGGCCCCGCACAAGCGGCGGAGCAUGCGGAUUAAUUCGAUGCAACGCGUAGAACCUUACCUGGGUUUGACAUGGAUCGGGAGUGCUCAGAGAUGGGUGUGCCUCUUUUGGGGUCGGUUCACAGGUGGUGCAUGGCUGUCGUCAGCUCGUGUCGUGAGAUGUUGGGUUAAGUCCCGCAACGAGCGCAACCCUUGUUCACUGUUGCCAGCACGUUAUGGUGGGGACUCAGUGGAGACCGCCGGGGUCAACUCGGAGGAAGGUGGGGAUGACGUCAAGUCAUCAUGCCCCUUAUGUCCAGGGCUUCACGCAUGCUACAAUGGCUGGUACAGAGGGUGGCGAGCCUGUGAGGGUGAGCGAAUCUCGGAAAGCCGGUCUCAGUUCGGAUUGGGGUCUGCAACUCGACCUCAUGAAGUCGGAGUCGCCAGUAAUCGCAGAUCAGCAACGCUGCGGUGAAUACGUUCCCGGG
rnacentral:rRNA from 1 species